rnacentral:rRNA from 1 species
UCAUGCUGAAAAGAGCGUAUGGUGGAUGCCUUGGCACUAAGAGCCGAUGAAAGACGUGAUAAGCUGCGAAAAGCUUCGGGGAGGAGCAAAUAUCCAAUGAUCCGGAGAUCUCUGAAUGGGGAAACCCACUUGAGCAAACCUCAAGUAUCCUAACGCCAAUACAUAACGUUAGGAAGGGAACCCGGUGAACUGAAACAUCUAAGUAGCCGGAGGAAGAGAAAACAACAUGUGAUUCCGGAAGUAGCGGCGAGCGAAACCGGAAGAGCCCAAACCGGGAUGCGUGCAUCCCGGGGUUCGGACCGCACAAUUGAUUCAAGAGUCUUAGCAGAAUGGUUUUGGGAAAGCCAGCCAGAGAGGGUGAAAGCCCCGUAAGCGAAAGGACGAUUGACAAGGCGGUAUCCAGAGUAGGUCGAGACACGUGGAACCUUGACUGAACACGCGGGGACCACCCCGUAAGGCUAAAUACUCCUUAGUGACCGAUAGCGCAUAGUACUGUGAAGGAACGGUGAAAAGGACCCCGGGAGGGGAGUGAAAAAGAACCUGAAACCAUAUGUUUACAAGCUGUGGAACCACUAUAAAUGUGGAACCGCGUACUUUUUGUAGAACGGUCCGGCGAGUUGCGCCGGCUGGCGAGGUUAAAUCCUACAGGGAUGGAGCCGAAGGGAAACCAAGUCUUAAUAGGGCCAGAGUCAGUCGGAGCAGACCCGAAACCGGGUGAUCUAUCCAUGUCCAGGUUGAAGUUGCCGUAAAAGGCAAUGGAGGACCGAACCCACAUCCGUUGAAAAGGGUGGGGAUGAGGUGUGGAUAGGGGAGAAAUUCCAAUCGAACCCGGAGAUAGCUGGUUCUCCUCGAAAUAGCUUUAGGGCUAGCCUCAUACAAGUCUUGCGGAGGUAGAGCACUGAAUUUCCUAGGGGGCGUCAAAGCUUACCGAAGAAUAUCAAACUCCGAAUGCCGCGUAGAUGAUGUAUGGGAGUCAGACUGCACGAGAUAAGUUGGGUAGUCAAAAGGGAAAGAGCCCAGACCUGCAGCUAAGGUCCCAAAAUGUGUGUUAAGUGGAAAAGGAUGUGGGAUUUCGAAGACAACUAGGAUGUUGGCUCAGAAGCAGCCAUACAUUCAAAGAGUGCGUAAUAGCUCACUAGUCGAGAGGUCCUGCGCCGAAAAUGUCCGGGGCUGAAACACACUACCGAAGCUCAGGAAUCAACGAAUGUUGAUUGGUAGAGGAGCAUUGGAUACGAGACGAAGCAGUACCGAUAAGGAGCUGUGGAUUGUAUCGAAGAGAGAAUGCCGGAAUGAGUAGCGAGAGGAAGGUGAGAAUCCUUCCGGCCGAAUAUCUAAGGUUUCCAGAGUAAAGCUGAUCUGCUCUGGGUAAGUCGGGGCCUAAGGCGAGGCCGAGAGGCGUAGUCGAUGGACAACAGGUUGAGAUUCCUGUACCUUAAGUAAACAGAACUGUGGGGACACGUGAGGAGAGCACAAGCCGGGAAUGGAAAGACCGGUGCAAGCGAGGUAGGAGUGCAGCUGGCAAAUCCGCUGUACAAUCUGAAGACGUGAUGCGGACCGAAUUAAGAGUAGGGAAGUGUGUGAGCCAUGCGUCAAGAAAAGCCGCUAUUGUUUUACUUAAGCCCGUACCGUAAACCGACACAGGUGGAUGAGGAGAGAAUCCUAAGGCCGACGGGAGAAGCAUUGUUAAGGAACUCGGCAAAAUGACUCCGUAACUUCGGGAGAAGGAGUGCCAGUGAAAGCUGGCCGCAGAGAAUUGGCCCAAGCAACUGUUUAGCAAAAACACAGGUCUAUGCAAAACCGAAAGGUGAAGUAUAUGGGCUGACGCCUGCCCGGUGCUGGAAGGUUAAGGGGAGAGGUUAGCGGUAACGCGAAGCUUUGAACUUAAGCCCCAGUAAACGGCGGCCGUAACUAUAACGGUCCUAAGGUAGCGAAAUUCCUUGUCGGGUAAGUUCCGACCCGCACGAAAGGCGUAAUGAUUUGGGCACUGUCUCAACAAUGCACCCGGUGAAAUUGAAAUACCAGUGAAGAUGCUGGUUACCUGCGCCAGGACGGAAAGACCCCAUGGAGCUUUACUCCAGCUUGAUACUGGGAUUCGGUAUUGCAUGUACAGGAUAGGUGGGAGACUGGGAAGUAGUUACGCCAGUAGCUACGGAGUCGCUGUUGGGAUACCACCCUUGCAGUAUUGGAUUUCUAACCAGCGGCC